rnacentral:RNase_P_RNA from 1 species
CGGGUCGGACAGCCGCGGGGGGAAGCCGAAAGGCUCCCCGUGAGGAAAGUCCGGGCUCCACAGGGCAAGGAUAACGGGUAACGCCCGCCGGGGGUGACCCUAGGACAAGUGCAACAGAAAGAUACCGCCUUCCGUACCGGGAGGUAAGGGUGAAAAGGCGCGGUAAGAGCGCACCCGCCCCAUGGGAACAUCGGGGUGCUGUAAACUCUAUCCGGAGCAACACCGUGUGAGGGACAAUCGGCUUGCCCGGCCGUCCCCAAGAGGUGGCUGGAACCCGGGAGCAAUCCCGGGUCUAGAUAGAUGGCUGUCGAUGACAGAACCCGGCUUAUAGACCCGGUCG